CCGGGCAAAUAGCGAUUUGUUCAAUAACUACUCCGUAACUCCAUGGCCAUUCAAGUAAUCUGGCUGUAAUAUGUGCUUCAUUGUCCCUUUUCGUUUACUCUCCCUCUAAGGAGUCUUCACUCUGGAUGCAUAUUUAAAUGCCACACAAUCGGCUCCCUAAGUACGCAGAAUACGGCAUAAGCUCUAAUCUACAGCGUAUGUAGCGCCAUUCGGUUAACUCUUCGGCUAUCAACUCGGCCUGCCGAGGUUGGGGUUCGGUGAUUGAUUGAGUUCCCCCCCCCCCCAAAGAUAGAGAAGAAGAAGAAAAAUAAAACAUAAAAUAAAAUAAUAAUAUAAAAAAAGAUUUAUUCAGGGAUGAUUUUCCAUGUCCCUGAACCUUGCCCAUAUCCACCAGAUUUGACCGUCUUCUCGGGGGGGGCCCGGCCAUGGGAUUCGAAAAAGUUUGCGACCGUGAAUGCAAGCCAUCGUCACGUCAGCUAGCAGGGGGAUAUUUCGCAGGGCUAAAAAGGGAAAGGGGACAAUUUUGAAGGUUUAGCCGUAUCAAGCAAGAUUCUGGACCAAUAAAGGAUGGCUGGUGAAUUUACGGAUUUUAGAAUGGAAUUAAUUAAAACCGGCAUCAACGGUCUGUUCUAUAAUAAUAAAUAAUAAUUUGCCUGUGUUCAAGCGAUCUGCCGUCGGUUGUUGUCUACCAUUCUAUACCCUGACCCACUCGCGCUUGAUAGGCGAUGCCAAUGUAACGGUGCUCAGUGCAGUGCAUGGACAUGAUUAUGUCGUCACAAGUCUGUCUGUCACCAAACUGGAAGAGAAGAGUAAAGUAAAAAGGG
rnacentral:sRNA from 2 species